rnacentral:rRNA from 2 species
UUGACCUCGGAUCAGGUAGGACUACCCGCU